rnacentral:rRNA from 1 species
GACCAGACUCCUACGGGAGGCAGCAGUGGGGAAUAUUGCACAAUGGGGGAAACCCUGAUGCAGCGACGCCGCGUGAGCGAUGAAGUAUUUCGGUAUGUAAAGCUCUAUCAGCAGGGAAGAAGAUGACGGUACCUGACUAAGAAGCCCCGGCUAACUACGUGCCAGCAGCCGCGGUAAUACGUAGGGGGCAAGCGUUAUCCGGAUUUACUGGGUGUAAAGGGAGCGUAGACGGCGAUGCAAGCCAGAUGUGAAAGCCCGGGGCUCAACCCCGGGACUGCAUUUGGAACUGUGUGGCUGGAGUGUCGGAGAGGCAGGCGGAAUUCCUAGUGUAGCGGUGAAAUGCGUAGAUAUUAGGAGGAACACCAGUGGCGAAGGCGGCCUGCUGGACGAUGACUGACGUUGAGGCUCGAAAGCGUGGGGAGCAAACAGGAUUAGAUACCCUUGUA